GAGAGCUACAGAUGGACAAGGUAGUAAAAGAGAAUGUCUGUGAUUCUCACUGCAAUUUCAUUAUUGCUCAGAUUGAGUCAGCUAAUAAGGAAUGAAUCACAGAACUGACUGAAGAAAUAUUGAGCUGUGGCUACCAGGGUCCUGUUGACAUGAAAAGGAGAGAUGAAAUCAUUCGGGCAGUUGUACUUCACGCCACUGUCCGUCUGGUGCCGCUUUUGUCCCAACUUCGGGAUGGGCUCAAACUUUAUGGUCUUGUUGACCUGGUCUGCCAAAACCCAAUCAUCUGCCAACCACUGUUUGUUCCAGGGAUAGACAAUGAAGGCUGAUGCUGACUUCGUUUUUACAAAAUGCCACCCUGACUUCAGCGAGAAAGGCUCCAACAAACACCAAGUGGAAAUUAGCAUCAUGAACCACCUGCAAGAUUUCUUACAAGAAUUGGAAUCUGGUGAAGAGACAGAGUUUGAUGACAGCCCAACUUCUCUCUCCCCAAGCAAAUUCUUACAGUGGCUCACAAGACAGGGCCACAUGCCUAUUCUACCUGAAGAUAAAAGAAACUUCAAGGUCUGUGUGCAGUUCAACCACUCCUGUCACACUGAGUGGGGUGUUCAUGGAAUAUGCUAUCCAACAGUUUCGGCAUGUAGCAAUACAAUACAUCUACCUGUCCAGCAUAUGCAAACCUAUGCUAAGUUUAAACAAGUGAUGACAGAGGCUAUCCAGCUUGGGCAGGCAUUCCAUCAGGUGUAGGAUUAGAUAAAAUCAAACUAACUUGAUGUUACAAGCACUUUGACAGCACUAUAUGGCAUUUUAUUAUUCUGGUUUUAGGAGUUUUGAAAAUGUUUUGACUGCCUUUAAGAAAAAAUGUUUUGGGAAUGUUACAAGCUAUAUGGCAUUUUCCUAUUAGUUUUAGGAAUCCCACAGAUGUUUUGACUGCCUUGCAGAAUAAAAUGUAUUUUUUUUUCAUAACUGUUACAAGCACUUUUACACUUUAUGGCAUUUUACUAUUCUAGUUUUGGGAGUUCUAAAGAUGUUUUGACUGCCUUUCAGAAUAGGAAAAAAAGUCUUUGUGUUCCAGAUAAGUACUCCUUACCUGACUGUAUGACAUAGCGAUGGCGUCCCAGUGGAAAAGGAACCGCCCCUAAGACUAUUCAUGUGUAUUAAAAUAUAUUUG